UUGUUCGCAAUGGGCGCAAGCCUGACGACGCAACGCCGCGUGGAGGACGAAGAUCUUCGGGUCGUAAACUCCUUUCGAUCGGGACGAAUGGCUGGUGGUCGAAUACGCCACCGGAAUGACGGUACCGAGAGAAGAAGCACCGGCCAACUACGUGCCAGCAGCCGCGGUAAUACGUAGGGUGCGAGCGUUGUCCGGAAUUAUUGGGCGUAAAGGGCUCGUAGGCGGUUUGUCGCGUCGGGAGUGAAAACACUGGGCUUAACUCAGUGCUUGCUUCCGAUACGGGCAGACUAGAGGUAUGCAGGGGAGAACGGAAUUCCUGGUGUAGCGGUGAAAUGCGCAGAUAUCAGGAGGAACACCGGUGGCGAAGGCGGUUCUCUGGGCAUUACCUGACGCUGAGGAGCGAAAGUGUGGGGAGCGAAC
rnacentral:rRNA from 1 species